UUAAUAAUUGGGGAGAUAGAAACAGUUUUUUUUUGUUUCUCGUAAUAAAAUAUAAAUAUGCAAGAUGAAGAAAUAGAAAAGGACUCUACAAAUGAUAAUUAUUUAUUUCUCGGGAAUAAAAAACUCUUAAAUCGUGUGAGAGAUGAAAAUGUAGGGUAUAAUUAUGUAUGCUAAAAAUAAAAAAUAGUUAUGCAAAAAUAAACAAGGACUUAUUUGUGUAAUAGCCAUAUUUGGAAGAAAAAUUAGAUGAGUGACAAUAAUGUUGGACGGAGGCUGAGGAUGUUUUGGUGGUGAGAGACGCACUAAACGGAACGCUGAAGAUGUCUGCUAGCCGCCAGUGGUGGAAGAAUCCGACGAGCGAUUACCGGUGACAUCAUCUUCUUCGCCAUGUUCCUUCUUCCACGCCGGAGGUCAAUGAUAAAGCUUCACUGGCGACGUUUAUGUCAUCUUUGUCUCAAGUCUCACCUCGUCGUCAUUGGUUCAUCUCCGACCAGCAGUACAUGGGCACAAAAUGAAUCUCGAGCAACAAUGGCCAAUUUUGACUUUUUUGCACAUUUACUCUUUCAGAUUUUAUAUAAUUUUGUUUUGGAUACAUAGUGUACACAUGUACACUUUGAUGAUAAUGUACACAUGUACACUCUGAUGGAUACAUCGGUUAAGGUGGACGUAUUUAAAAAAAAAGGCUAUU